rnacentral:rRNA from 1 species
UACGUAGGGCGCGAGCGUUGUCCGGAUUUAUUGGGCGUAAAGAGCUCGUAGGCGGUUUGUCGCGUCUGCCGUGAAAGUCCGGGGCUCAACUCCGGAUCUGCGGUGGGUACGGGCAGACUAGAGUGAUGUAGGGGAGACUGGAAUUCCUGGUGUAGCGGUGAAAUGCGCAGAUAUCAGGAGGAACACCGGUGGCGAAGGCGGGUCUCUGGGCCGAUACUGACGCUGAGGAGCGAAAGCGUGGGGAGCGAACAGG